GGGUAACAUGGUAGCAAUACUGAUGACGACCGGCAAACGGGUGUGGAACACGUACAGAACCUUCCUUUAAGCGGGGGAUAGCCCGGAGAAAUCCGGAUUAAUACCCCAUAGUAUUAUUGAUUGGCAUCAAUUGGUAAUUAAAGAUUUAUCACUUAAAGAUGGCUGUGCGGCUGAUUAGGUAGUUGGUGUAGGUAAAGGCUCACCAAGCCAGCGAUCAGUAACUGGUGUGAGAGCACGACCAGUCACACGGGCACUGAGACACGGGCCCGACUCCUACGGGAGGCAGCAGUAAGGAAUAUUGGUCAAUGGAGGCAACUCUGAACCAGCCAUGCCGCGUGAAGGAUGAAGGUCCUCUGGAUUGUAAACUUCUUUUAUGUGGGAAGAAAUGCAUUCUUUAUAGAGUGUUUGACGGUACCAUAGGAAUAAGCACCGGCUAACUCCGUGCCAGCAGCCGCGGUAAUACGGAGGGUGCAAGCGUUAUCCGGAUUCACUGGGUUUAAAGGGUGCGUAGGUGGGAAUGUAAGUCAGUGGUGAAAUCUCUGAGCUUAACUCAG
rnacentral:rRNA from 1 species